rnacentral:rRNA from 1 species
CCGAAAGCUAUUUAGGUAGCGCCUCGUGAAUUCAUCUCCGGGGGUAGAGCACUGUUUCGGCAAGGGGGUCAUCCCGACUUACCAACCCGAUGCAAACUGCGAAUACCGGAGAAUGUUAUCACGGGAGACACACGGCGGGUGCUAACGUCCGUCGUGAAGAGGGAAACAACCCAGACCGCCAGCUAAGGUCCCAAAGUCAUGGUUAAGUGGGAAACGAUGUGGGAAGGCCCAGACAGCCAGGAUGUUGGCUUAGAAGCAGCCAUCAUUUAAAGAAAGCGUAAUAGCUCACUGGUCGAGUCGGCCUGCGCGGAAGAUGUAACGGGGCUAAACCAUG